AUGAACGCUGGCGGCGUGCCUAACCCCUGCAAGUCGAACGGAGUCCAGCCUUUAAGACCUUCGGGUCAAAGAGGGGAAGACUGAGUGGCGGACGGGUGAGUAACACGUGGGCACCCUGGCUCAUAGAGGGGGAUAACAGAGAGAAAUUUCUGCUAAUACCGCAUAAGCACACACUGCCGCAUGGCAGAGGGUGAAAAGAGAAUCGCUAUGAGAUGGACCCGCGUCUGAUUAGCCAGUUGGCAGGGUAAGAGCCUACCAAAGCGACGAUCAGUAGCCGAUCUGAGAGGAUGAACGGCCACAUUGGGACUGAGACACGGCCCAAACUCCUACGGGAGGCAGCAGUGGGGGAUAUUGCACAAUGGGGGGAACCCUGAUGCAGCGACGCCGCGUGAGUGAAGAAGUAUUUCGGUAUGUAAAGCUCUAUCAGCAGGGAAGAUAAUGACAGUACCUGAAGAAGAAGCCCCGGCUAACUACGUG
rnacentral:rRNA from 1 species